GCCUAAAGAGAAGCUUGCGGCUGAUUAGCUUGUUGGUAAGGUAAUGGCUUACCAAGGCGACGAUCAGUAUCUGGUUUGAGAGGACGAUCAGACACACUGGAACUGAGACACGGUCCAGACUCCUACGGGAGGCAGCAGUGGGGAAUUUUCCGCAAUGGGCGAAAGCCUGACGGAGCAAUACCGCGUGAGGGAUGAAUGCCUAUGGGUUGUAAACCUCUUUUUUCAGGGAGGAACAAAAUGACGUGUACCUGAAGAAUAAGCAUCGGCUAACUCCGUGCCAGCAGCCGCGGUAAGACGGAGGAUGCAAGUGUUAUCCGGAAUCACUGGGCGUAAAGCGUCUGUAGGUGGUUUAAUAAGUCAACUGUUAAAUCUUGAGGCUCAACCUCGAAAUCGCAGUCGAAACUAUUAGACUAGAGUAUAGUAGGGGUAAAGGGAAUUUCCAGUGGAGCGGUGAAAUGCGUAGAGAUUG
rnacentral:rRNA from 1 species